rnacentral:rRNA from 1 species
ACGCGUGGAACCUUACCAUCCCUUGACAUGGCAUGUAAUCCGGAGAGAUCCGGGGUCCACUUCGGUGGCGUGCACACAGGUGCUGCAUGGCUGUCGUCAGCUCGUGUCGUGAGAUGUUGGGUUAAGUCCCGCAACGAGCGCAACCCACGUCCUUAGUUGCCAUCAUUCAGUUGGGCACUCUAGGGAGACUGCCGGUGAUAAGCCGCGAGGAAGGUGUGGAUGACGUCAAGUCCUCAUGGCCCUUACGGGA